rnacentral:snRNA from 1 species
GAUGUGUCUAUGUGUCACUUUCA